UUAAUUGAAGCCAAAUAGAGGCAUAUUAUUGUUAAUAAUAUCAUUGAAAAAUUCUCCAAUUAAA
rnacentral:tRNA from 1 species